UGGGGAAUUUUGGACAAUGGGCGCAAGCCUGAUCCAGCCAUGCCGCGUGCGGGAAGAAGGCCUUCGGGUUGUAAACCGCUUUUGUCAGGGAAGAAAUCUUCUGAGUUAAUACCUCGGGAGGAUGACGGUACCUGAAGAAUAAGCACCGGCUAACUACGUGCCAGCAGCCGCGGUAAUACGUAGGGUGCAAGCGUUAAUCGGAAUUACUGAGCGUAAAGCGUGCGCAGGCGGUUUUGUAAGACAGAGGUGAAAUCCCCGGGCUCAACCUGGGAACUGCCUUUGUGACUGCAAGGCUUGAGUGCGGCAGAGGGGGGAUGGAAUUCCGCGUGUAGCAGUGAAAUGCGUAGAUAUGCGGAGGAACACCGAUGGCGAAGGCAAUCCCCUGGGCUUGCACUGACGCUCAUGCACGAAAGCGUGGGGAGCAAACAGGAUUAGAUACCCUGGUAGUCCACGCCCUAAAACGAUGUCAACUGGUUGUUGGGAAGGUUCCUUCUCAGUAACGUAGCUAACGCGUGAAGUUGACCGCCUGGGGAGUACGGCCGCAAGGUUGAAACUCAAAUGAA
rnacentral:rRNA from 1 species